CAGUAACAGGCCUCACCCUGCUCCCACGCAGCCUGCAGUCUUAAAGGCCAGUGUCACUCUCACUGUGCUCCCCCAACAGCACUGAGUGUAUUUCCAGGCAGCCAGUGACUAAAUGACUAGGGCUGAGAACUUGCCCUAUACCACAAGCCUCCUCGCUGAGAAAGCAAGCGGACUCACAGUUUUUCAGGGAGCCUGCAGCCGUGAUCCAGUUCUUUCAAAGGGUCUGUGAGUCUUUCAGCUUUCCUGCCUACUCAACAUGAAGAUGACAAGAAGGAAGACCUUUAUGAUGAUCCACUUUUGCUUAGUUUUUAGAUCAAAAAGAAUUGUACUCAAGGAAUUGAAGCUAUGGAGCCUCUGCCACAUCUGGACCUGAUUUUGAUGACAAGAUCCUGUACCUCAAGCCCGAGACUAAUUUCAUAAUUUGAUGAAUCUUUUUGGAGAGUCAUGGGAGGAAUGUAAACAAUUUGUGGCCAAAGGAGAAUUAUGGUAGUUUGAAGAUGUGGAUACAAAUUAUUUGACAUUCUUCUCAUAGAAAGGUGAUGCUUAUGUCUCCACCCCUUGUAAACAAGCUGGCUUGUGACUUUGACCUAUAGUGUAUGGUGGGAGUGAUGCUGUGGAACUGGAAUUACUAGCAUCAGGAAACCUACUUGCUACAGACCCAACAACGUGCAAUGAUCAGAUCCCAAUUUAGACUGUAAAAAGACCAAUAUCAGAGACUAAGAACUGAGAUCAAACAUACCUUCUUCCUGUACCAAACAGUUCUGGGGCCAAAUAUUGUCUACUGUCUCUAUGCUAACUAGUACUGAAACCAGGCAAAAUUAACUACUUAGCCGCUUGUUCCAGGAAAUACCUGCUCUCGGAAGAAAUAAGUUAACCCACCUGUAUUAGUCUGUUUUCUGCUGCCAUAACAGAACAUUACAGACUAGAUAAUUACUUUGAAAAGUUUAUUUGACCCACAGUUCUGGAAGCUAGGAAAUCCAAGAGGAUGGCACUGGUGUCUGGUGAGGGUCAUGUUAUAGUGGAGGAGUGGAGGAUGGAAGCAAACACAUGAGACAGAGAGAGAAAUCAGGCCAGACUUACUUCUCUAACAAACCCCAUCUCAAUAACUAACUCAUUCCUAUGAUAAUAGCAUUAAUUAUCUCAUGAAAGCCCUCAUAACCUAAUUACCUCUUAAAGACCCCACAUCAAUAAAAUAUCAACAUGAGUUUUGGAGGGGACGUAUAUUUAAAUAAUAGCACCAACUAAAGAGCUUACUUACCUUGCUCAUCAAGACUUUCUUCAAGACUUUCAUCGUGUUGUUUCUAUCUACCCCAAACUAUUAUUUCAUACCCUUUGUUCCAUCCCAACUAAUUUUAGAUGCUACGGUCUGAAUGUUGAAAUUCAUGUAUUGAAACCUAGUCACCAAUUUAUGGUAUUAGGAGAUUGUCCUUUGGGAGGUGAUUGGGCCACAAGGGCUUCACUCUCAUUAAUGGAAUUAGUGUUCUUCUAAAAGAGGCUGCAGAGAGCUGCGUUUUCUCCUCCAUUGUGUGUGAAGGCAGUGAGAAUUUGUUUGCAAUGAAUCAGGAAAUGGGCCCUCACCAGACACCAGCACUUUGAUCUUAGAUUUUCCAACCUACAGAACUGUGAGAAAUGAAUUUCUGUGGUUUAUACCACCAACUUAGGGUAUUUUGUUAUAGCAGCCAGAACAGAUGAAGGAACUCCACCUUGCCUUAAAAUGACUCAUUUCAGGCCCCGAAAUCCCAUAAACACUUUCCCUUGAUGUCUUCCUUUUGAGAUACUAUUAAUAUUCUGUCAAGGUAGUAGUCUGCUUUAAUAUAAUCAGCUAGUUUUUUUUUUUAACCAAUAGGUUUUUCUGGUGGGUUUGUGUGUGUGUGUGUGUGUGUGUGUAGCUAAUAGUCAACAUCACCUUAUCAAGAACAACUGUCUGAAUAUUAACUUACUUAGGACGUUUGUCUAGGGAGAUGUUGAUGUGUGGAUGAGUUUAAUCUUAUUAAUGCUCCACAUGGGUAUUCUAAGGCUGAGUCAAGGCAUUUUUCUAACAUAACAUGACAGCAUUAAAUGAUCCAUUUCUAGUGUGUUUUUAUUCCACACCACACAUUUGUAGACCUAGGACUACAAACAUUAUCUAUGUCAUUAUAAUCACAUUUUUUGGUCCUUUCUAACUCAUUAUUCACAGGAUGUUCCUGGAACCAGGACCUAUAUUUAACACUAAUACUGUCAUAAAAAUAAUCCACUAUUGCAAUUUACAUGUUCACAAAAUACUACUCUUUUGUAAACAAAGUAAAUUUUCUAACUGUAAUUGAACAUCAAAUUCAAGGCCAGAUUCCCUAAGGUCAAUUCAAUUACAAUUUACACAGUUAAUGGAGUAACUUAAAGCACACAUACAUUUACACACAUUCAUACAUACUUCUUUCAAAACUGUACUCAGAAAAACACUUUCCUGCUUACCACUGAAGGCAUAUAUUGCUACUGGCAUCUAGGCAUUUUUGUUUGGGUAAUCUACCUGAGUAAGGCAAGGCUUUUAAUGGAUGAGAAUAAAUGACUGUGUCAAGCUAAAAGUUUCAAGAUCUUUCAAGUUUCAUAAAAAUGAAUCUUUAAGUGUUCUCAGAAUGCAAAAUUGGAGCUGCAAUUGGAUAUCAAAUCAGUUGCAAAAAGUGUGCAGCAGCUGUUGCUCAAGUUGAGACUCAGCUUGCAGUUUUGCAAAGAAGUUUCAGGAAUAGUUUGUUUGGCCUUGUCCCAUCUUCUGAAAUAAUCUGAUCAGGCAUGAAUUUCUUAAAAGGCUGCCAAUUUGGUAGUGAGAAUUUGCUCAUACUUCUCCUGAACUUUACCUUCACAGCCUCUUAAGAGAUGCUCACAUAUUAGUCCAACUCACGGGAGCAUAAAGACGGCUGGUCCCUCUUCAUCAGGUUUGGAGGAAUCUGAUGAAUUUUAGGUGCCAUUAUUGCUGAGAAGGGAAUCAUAUUCUUUUAAAUACAAACUUCACAGUGAUUAAAAACAAAAAUUAUAAACAAGCAACUCCUAAUUGUUUCCAUUUCUGAUAAUGGUUUUAUUCCUCUUUUCUAAUCUGAAAAAAUGCACUCCAGGGUGGGUUGAAUGGUGUCACUUGCUGCCAGCAGGGUUGGUUGCCGUGACAUGGUAGCUGUGGGUGGGGUCCAAGGUGACAAGAGAGACUUCCACACCUAGCUGAAUCACUUCCACUCCAAGGUCCACGUAAUCCACAUCAUCCCAUGUCCUGUUUCUGAGGGUCAGAGACUCAGUGGACAUUCCUGACCCACUGCUCCUCAGUGGGGCUCAAUAUCCCGAUUUUAUAAUUUUUUAAAAAAAAGAAAACAAAAAUAAAACCAAAAAUAAACAAUCACUCGUUCUCUACUUACAUGCAGUGACUGACUCUCAUUUAGCUUGAUUUGCCCAAUUUAUUCAUAUCAAUUAAUUGGAUAAUGAGUCACCAACAGUCUUUAGGUUUUACAGAACCAUUAUCCUCAUUUCCUAAUUUACUUCCAGGGAAAUGAUAUAUGUAAACAUUUUCUCAAAAACGGGGGAGUGUAUCCAUUUUUCAAUAUAUACAAAUCAUUAUUUUUUCAUUCCAACUCCUAUCUCAAAAUAUGCAAAUGUUUCCUGAAGUUCUCUUAGGAUAUUUGUCUAUUUAUAGCUCCCCUUCCCCUCUAUUUAACACUGUUUUGAGGUGCUGUUUCUAAAAUGCAAAUCUGACUCCUCCAGUCACACUUCCAGGUUUAAAAGUCUUCGCAGCUUUCUAUCACCUUUAAAACAGGAUCCCAAGUGUCCUCCCUGCUCUGGGCCCUGACCAGGUCUGUCCACCACCCGGCACGCAUCUUUAAACUUGCAUUUUUCUGACUUGCAUUUUCUUCCCUCACCCCCUGGCUCAUUCACAAACUGCUCCCAUUGUUUACAUUGCUUUUUACCAUGGGUUCUCCUGGCACAUGUUUAUCUAGUGGCUGGUUCAUUCUUCUCUGGGGCCCCAAAUCUUCUUAGCAGUGGUUCCAGAUUACCUCUUCCUCAGUGUUUCUCGGUAGUUUAGGUGUCCCUCUUCUGAGGUCCUCUCUCAGAAUUGCCACGCUGUGUGGCCAUCACUGACUUAGUUUUCCAUCUCUCCUUCCUCACAAGAAGCUCUUUCAAGACAGGAACCGCCUUUUCUUUGUGAAUGCUCAGAAUUCCACUAGUGCCAGGCACAAAGGGAGCUCUCAGCUUCUCUGUUGAGUGAAUGAAAUGAAUGCAUGAGGGGUUCUAAAGAACUGUGUAGCCUUUCACAAGCAAUGUCCUCCAUUACAGAGGGGGUAGGACUGCCUUUCUACUCUUGGGGAAAGCUCUGUGCCAUCAAACUUCAGAUAUUUCAAAGUCAGUGCUUUUAGGAGAAAAUAUUCCAUUGGAGCCUAGAAAGCUGCAAGAGGUAACAGGCAUGCAAGAGAAAGGGUCCCGUUCAUCCUGGAUCAUGUCUGGCUCUUGGUAAAAAGACACAAGAUGACUGUCUUUUUUAUUCUUUUUUAGUGAAUCUUUUUUUAUUCUUUUUUAGUGAAUCUUUAUUAGUUUAGCAAAUAAUUUUUGAGCACUAUGUGCCUGGCACUGGGGAUUCAAUAACAAACAAAAUAUAUGUGAUCUGUCUUCACCAAGUUGAAAUGGAUCAUGAGUGAAAAACAUUAAAUUCUCAAGCAAAUGACUGCUAAGUUCCAGGCAAUUGGGGUAAAGGUUGUGAAGAAGAUGCAGAGUAUCCUGAGAAGCUGCAAAUUUUACUUUUUGUAGAUACAUGAGCCACAUUUCUUCAUUCCAAGAAAAUAUUUUAUUAAUAUGUUCAACCUGAUCUGUUGGGACAGUAAAGACUUCUCCAAGAAUGGCCUAUGAAUUAAUUUAAGGAUGGUGGGUGGGCAAAAUGAAUUUAGGAACAGCAUGCACAGAAGCCCUGCAAAAGAGAAUGGAAACAAGGAUAUUAUCCCUGGAGUGUGGUGAAUAAGGAGUAAAGUCAGAGGGGGUAGGGCUUGGUGAUGCCCCUUCGUAAUCACUUGCUGACUCACUGAACAAGUCUUGAUCACUCAAGCCCUUGCUGCGUUUGCAAUAAAGUCUUGCAGAUUUAAUCCAUAGACAAAUGGAAAGCUUCUGAAGGUUUUCAGCAGAGGAGUUGCAAGUUUGCAUUAUGCUCAUUUAAAAGUAUUGUUCUGGCUAUUGUUUGGAGUGAAGGAGCAGAGAAGGUGGGUAGGUCAUUAAGGCAGCAAAUUUAUCCAGGCAGUCUCUGAACGUGCCUGUGAUUGAGUGUGUAUGGUAGGACUUUCUGUUCAAGUUUCCUCAGUGAUGUGUAAUAUGGUUCUUGCUCUCAAGGUAACUCCAUAGCUGGGAGCCAAGUCUCGAAGCCCCAUGAGGGGAAGUGGAUACAUCUCAGAAUUGGGUUUCCUGAUACACACGACUGCAUCCUUCAUCUGCCAGGCCCUGGCAUUGUUUACUGGAGAAGAUGUCAUAGGAAAUUGGGCUAUGUCAUUGAGCCACUGGAGUCACACAUGAACAGCCAUUUGGAGAUUCUGGAAUUGAUGGUUCAGGUGGAGUACCCCUUAUCUGAAAUGCUUGGGAACAGAAGCUUUUCGGAUUUGGGAUUUUUUCAUAUUUUGAAAUUUUUGCAUCCUAUACUUACAGGUUGAGCAUCCCUAAUCUGAAAAUCCAAAAUUGGAAUUGCUUCAGUGAGCAUUUCCUUUGAGUAUCAUGGCAGUGCUCAGAAAGUUUCAGAUUUUAGAGCAUUUUGGAUUUUGAAUUUUUGGAUUAGGGAUGCUUAACCUGAACCUACCAUUUAAAAGUGCUUAAUAAUCAAGUCAAAUCCUAUGUUGGAUAAUGAGACUUGGCUUAAAUAGCCCUUCCUAUAUUUAACUGUCUAUCUUGUUCUGCUGAAACCUUGGGAAUUGAGUGGGAAGAGGUAUCAUGGACCCCUGUUGCCUGUAAACUCCUGAAAGAAGAAAAAUAUGUUUUUUAACUCCUGAAUGUCAGGGUUCUUAUUCAUCUUUGUGUCCUCUGUCACCUAGAAAAGCCUGGAAGUUAGUAGGUCUUCAAUUAAUAGAAGGCCUUAUAGCAUAAUUGUUAAAAAGCUGAGGCUUUAUGGGCAAAUGAGAGUUUAAGUCCUGAAUCCACUAAUUCUCAACCGUUUCUUGGGCAAGUUAAUUAACCUUCCUAAGCCUCAAGUUUUUUAUCAGCAAGAUAAUGAUUAAAUGCCAAAUUCUUAGUUAAAUGCCUAGCAAAUAUAAAGGACCAAAUGUAUUUUAGUUCUUAUUAUUAAUGUUGAUUGAAUGCAAAAAUACAAUCAUGAUGAAACAAACCAUUUUACAAAAUUGGGGAUGAAGAAAAGAGCAAGAUGUGCUACAUUUAUGAGCUCAUCAUAUUUAAUAGGCUUUUCAGUGUCUGCAGUUGUUCUGUUUCUGGGAUAAGAUUUGGUGUAUUUUAUAUAUUAAUUCACAUAAUAAUGGAUCUUUUUGUGGUAAUCUGCAUAUAACCUGGAUGAAAACUCAAAUAUGUUUCUACAGCCUGCCAAAGUCUCCCUGAGAAGCCAAACUUCUCUUGCUUAGAUCCAACUAUGGGGUAUUGGUAUGGCCAUGGCUUUGGAAUAACGGUGUGAUCCAACUGAACUUGGUCACAGUGGUGUAAUAAAGUAGCAAAGGCAUUUGGUUAGCAUAGAGGAAGUGGGGGUUGGGGGAGGCACAUAGCUCAUGCUACUGGUCUGGGGACAUGUCUGGCUGAAAUGCUUGUUGGAAGUAUUUCAAAGUCAAAUACAAAUAGUUUUACAUAAGUUAUUCUUAUUUUCUAGUUUAGGUAAACUGUAUGAUGUAGUGAAACAAUGUUGCCUGGAAUUCCUGAAGAGAAGACCAAUCACUAAAAUUUGAGACUACUGCACAAUUCUGAUAUCUGAAUCAUUUCCAUAGAUAGAUUUUGGUUAAAGCACCUGUGUAUAUUCUGUCAUUAUUAAUUUGUGUCUGCUUUUUUACGGUUUCUAAAAUCAUGUUUUUAAAUUUUACAAACUCAGGUAAAUAAAAUAAAACCACCCAUAAUCCUAUCACCUUAACACAGCCUUGGCCAAUAGUUUUUUUGUUAUAUAUAUUUUUAAGUCUUUUUUUCUAUUCACUCUUUUAAUUUACCUGUAGCCAUUGUG
rnacentral:lncRNA from 1 species